rnacentral:pre_miRNA from 1 species
AUAAUACUCCCUUCGUCCGGAAUUACUUGUCAUCAAAAUGGAUGUGUCUAGAACUAAAAUACAUCUAGAUACAUCCAUUUCAAUGACAAGUAUUUUCGGACGAAGGGAGUAGUAG